CCACGAGCACUCGCCGGUAUACCCUUUGUGCUAUGAUAAGCACUGUAAGCACAGGCUGUCCCGUCCCGUGCACGUUCAAUCGUUUCCACUUGUUUCCCUCCUAUGCUCAGGGACCUAUAAAUUUCAAGAUUAUUAUUUAGGUGAUCUACAUACAUCUCAUGAAGCAGUGAUGUGAUCUAGUAUAGGGACGUAUUAUAGUUAACUAAGAAUCGCAGUGGUCUUACAGGAUUGUUGAAAUAACAACCCAGAACAUUAAGAAAGCAGUCACAAGAUCGCAUAACUCAAAUCAAGUUCUCUAAAGUGAUGGAACAUGCCUUAAAUCUCGGAGUCAUACUUGUGUCGAACUUACAGUACUCUGAAGAGCCUCAAGAAUGGAAUCUUGUUGAUAAUAUAAUACGUAGAAUUUACAUUAGUGUUUUGCAGGAGCAAAUGAUCCCUACGCGUAUCAAUGUCGAGCAUCAUUCACGUGUUAGAAAUGAGUUCUCGUGACGCAGAAGCAUAUACAUAUAAUGUAUAAUUAUUUGGUAAUGCGAAGCCAACCAGCGUCAGAGAUUUUGCUUGCUGUUUAAAUAGUUCGAAUUAUAGUCCUUGAUAUAGCGUUCUAUGAAGAAGGAAAUUGGAACAGAAAAUCGUUGCCCAACAAGCGUAAUACUUUCUCUUACUUCCUUUUGUAUAUUUCAAAAAAAGAAUAUAAGGAAGAGGAAGGAAACUUGAUUUUAAAAAUACUUUGUCGCAUUUAUAUGAAUUUUGUUUCGUAAGUAAACACAAAUCUGAUUAUGAAGAUUUAAUCUUCUAGUUCAGAAAGACUUUCCCAUUGGGAAAUGACCCAGUUAUACAAUAUUGGAAAUACAAAUACUCGAAAAUUGCAAAAGUGAUUCGAGCACGAAAAAUCUUGGCAAUCGAAAUUAUAGCAGUUGAUUCUACAGGUUCAUUAGGAUGACACACAUUAUAAAAUACAAAUGAGUUUCCCCGAUUUCUCUUAUCCUGGAGGAAAACCGAGGUAGUACGGCUUAAAGGAAAUGACCAAGAACGAUUGUUGGUGAAAGUUGAAAAAGGAACGCGUGGCACCGAUAAGGGUGGAGAUACGUUGGACUGAUA